rnacentral:rRNA from 1 species
GACGAACGCUGGCGGCGUGCUUAACACAUGCAAGUCGAACGAUGAACCCGGAGCUUGCUCCGGCGGAUUAGUGGCGAACGGGUGAGUAACACGUGAGUAACCUGCCCUUGACUCUGGGAUAACUGCUAGAAAUGGUAGCUAAUACCGGAUACGACCCUCGGUGGCAUCACCAGGGGGUGGAAAGAAUUUCGGUCAAGGAUGGACUCGCGGCCUAUCAGCUAGUUGGUGAGGUAACGGCUCACCAAGGCGACGACGGGUAGCCGGCCUGAGAGGGUGACCGGCCACACUGGGACUGAGACACGGCCCAGACUCCUACGGGAGGCAGCAGUGGGGAAUAUUGCACAAUGGGCGCAAGCCUGUUGCAGCAACGCCGCGUGAGGGAUGACGGCCUUCGGGUUGUAAACCCCUUUUCCCAGGGACGAUGAUGACGGUACCUGGGGAAGAAGCCCCGGCUAACUACGUGCCAGCCGCCGCCGUAA